AGAAUCAACGCUGGCGGCGUGCCUAACACAUGCAAGUCGCACGAGAAAGGGUAGCAAUACCUGAGUACAGUGGCGCACGGGUGAGUAACACGUGAAUAAUCUACCUCCGAGUGGGGAAUAACUGAGAGAAAUCUUAGCUAAUACCGCAUAACACUUACGAGUCAAAGCAGCAAUGCGCUUGGAGAGGAGUUCGCGGGCAGAUUAGUUAGUUGGCGGGGUAAUGGCCCACCAAGACGAUGAUCUGUA
rnacentral:rRNA from 1 species